GCUUACGGCCACAACGCCUUGUAUACGCUUGAUCUCGGAAGAUAAGAUAGGUUGGGCCUGGUUAGUACUUGGAUGGGAGACCGCCUGGGAAUACCAGGUGCUGUAAGCU
rnacentral:rRNA from 1 species